rnacentral:rRNA from 1 species
UACGUAGGUGGCAAGCGUUGUCCGGAAUUACUGGGCGUAAAGGGCGUGUAGGCGGGGGAUCAAGUCAGAUGUGAAAUACCGUGGCUUAACUGCGGGGCUGCAUCUGAAACUGGUCCUCUUGAGUGUCGGAGAGGAAAGUGGAAUUCCCAGUGUAGCGGUGAAAUGCGUAGAGAUUGGGAGGAACACCAGUGGCGAAGGCGGCUUUCUGGACGAUAACUGACGCUGAGGCGCGAAAGCGUGGGGAGCAAACAGGAUUAGAUACCCUGGUAGUCCACGCUGUAAACGAUGGAUACUAGGUGUAGGAGGUAUCGACCCCUUCUGUGCCGGAGUUAACACAAUAAGUAUCCCGCCUGGGGAGUACGGCCGCAAGGUUGAA